rnacentral:rRNA from 1 species
GAUGAACGCUGGCGGCAGGCCUAAUACAUGCAAGUCGAACGGAUGUAGCAAUACAUUAGUGGCGCACGGGUGCCUAACGCGUGGGAACAUACCCUUGAGUAAGGAAUAAUGUCUGGAAACGGACACUAAUACCUUAUAAUGACUUCGGUCCAAAGAUUCAUCGCUCAAGGAUUGGCCCGCGUCUGAUUAGCUAGUUGGUGAGGUAACGGCUCACCAAGGCGACGAUCAGUAGCUGGUCUGAGAGGAUGAUCAGCCACACUGGGACUGAGACACGGCCCAGACUCCUACGGGAGGCAGCAGUAAGGAAUAUUGGACAAUGGGGGAAACCCUGAUCCAGCCAUGCCGCGUGAGUGAAGAAGGCCUUAGGGUUGUAAAGCUCUUUCAAUAGUGAAGAUAAUGACGGUAGCUAUAGAAGAAGCCCCGGCUAAAUUCGUGCCAGCCGCCGCCGUAA